rnacentral:lncRNA from 11 species
GGAUUUUGUUUAGUGUGCAGCUGUAGCAGAUCAGUGUAAGGGAUGUAAAAUAUUACUGGAUAUGGUCUCAAAUAUAUUGAGAGGACGAGGACAUCUUCUACCUGUUAGCUGGAUGUAACAUGGGAGGAAGGCUUAUGAAAAAAGACUAUAUCCUGUAACUGUGCAGUAUGGGAGAGAAACCAUAGGGCAGGAAGUGUAAGCUCUGUUGAACCUAGGCAGAGCCUGGCCUCUGGAAUUAAAUCCCCUCUGAUGAAAAUGGCUGGGAAUACAUCUCUUCAUUAAACAAUGAACUGUUAGCUUCAGUACUAUCUGGUCUGACUACUGCAACUGUCAUGGCAACAGACAGAAAGAGACAGUUUGUAAGGUAAC